rnacentral:rRNA from 1 species
CAGUCGCCACGGGAAUACAGAGGGUGCGAGCGUUAAUCGGAUUUACUGGGCGUAAAGCGUGCGUAGGCGGCUUUUUAAGUCGGAUGUGAAAUCCCUGAGCUUAACUUAGGAAUUGCAUUCGAUACUGGGAAGCUAGAGUAUGGGAGAGGAUGGUAGAAUUCCAGGUGUAGCGGUGAAAUGCGUAGAGAUCUGGAGGAAUACCGAUGGCGAAGGCAGCCAUCUGGCCUAAUACUGACGCUGAGGUACGAAAGCAUGGGGAGCAAACAGGAUUAGAUACCCGGGUAGUCCCUGUCUCUUAUAC